GACGAACGCUGGCGGCGUGCUUAACACAUGCAAGUCGAACGGAAAGGCCCUGCUUUUGUGGGGUGCUCGAGUGGCGAACGGGUGAGUAACACGUGAGUAACCUGCCCUUGACUUUGGGAUAACUUCAGGAAACUGGGGCUAAUACCGGAUAGGAGCUCCUGCUGCAUGGUGGGGGUUGGAAAGUUUCGGCGGUUGGGGAUGGACUCGCGGCUUAUCAGCUUGUUGGUGGGGUAGUGGCUUACCAAGGCUUUGACGGGUAGCCGGCCUGAGAGGGUGACCGGCGAGAGUGGGACAGAGAAAAGCCCCGGCCCCGAGGGGAGGCAGGCGGGGGGGAUUAUUGAAAAGGGGGGGGAGGCUGAAAGCAGCAACGCCGCGUGGGGGAGGAGGGCCUUGGGUUUUAAGCCCGUUUGCGCCGGGGAGAAAGGGGAGGGGGGGGAAUGGGAAAGAGAAGCCCGGGCUAACUAGGGC
rnacentral:rRNA from 1 species